CCUACGGGCGGCUGCAGUGGGGGAUAUUGCACAAUGGGGGAAACCCUGAUGCAGCGACGCCGCGUGGGUGAAGAAGCGCCUCGGCGCGUAAAGCCCUGUCAGCAGGGAAGAAAAUGACGGUACCUGAAGAAGAAGCCCCGGCUAACUACGUGCCAGCAGCCGCGGUAAUACGUAGGGGGCAAGCGUUAUCCGGAUUUACUGGGUGUAAGGGGGGCGCAGACGGCGGUGCAAGCCAGGAGUGAAAGCCCGGGGCCCAACCCCGGGACUGCUCUUGGAACUGCGUGGCUGGAGUGCAGGAGGGGCAGGCGGAAUUCCUGGUGUAGCGGUGAAAUGCGUAGAUAUCAGGAGGAACACCGGCGGCGAAGGCGGCCUGCUGGACUGCAACUGACGUUGAGGCCCGAAGGCGUGGGGAGCAAACAGGAUUAGAUACCCCAGUAGUC
rnacentral:rRNA from 1 species